rnacentral:rRNA from 1 species
UACGGGGGGGGCUAGCGUUGUUCGGAAUUACUGGGCGUAAAGGGCGCGUAGGCGGUCUGCUAAGUUGGAUGUGAAAACUCUGGGCUUAACCCAGAGCCUGCAUUCAAUACUGACAGGCUAGAGUUCUGGAGGGGAUAGCGGAAUUCCUGGUGUAGCGGUGAAAUGCGUAGAUAUCAGGAGGAACACCGGUGGCGAAGGCGGCUAUCUGGACAGUGACUGACGCUGAGACGCGAAAGCGUGGGGAGCAAACAGG